rnacentral:rRNA from 1 species
GCAGUGUACCCGCGGCAAGACGGAAAGACCCCGUGAACCUUUACUAUAGCUUGACACUGAACAUUGAGCCUUGAUGUGUAGGAUAGGUGGGAGGCUUUGAAGCGUGGACGCCAGUCUGCGUGGAGCCGACCUUGAAAUACCACCCUUUAAUGUUUGAUGUUCUAACGUGGAUCCGUAAUCCGGGUUGCGGACAGUGUCUGGUGGGUAGUUUGACUGGGGCGGUCUCCUCCUAAAGAGUAACGGAGGAGCACGAAGGUUGGCUAAUCCUGGUCGGACAUCAGGAGGUUAGUGCAAUGGCAUAAGCCAGCUUGACUGCGAGCGUGACGGCGCGAGCAGGUGCGAAAGCAGGUCAUAGUGAUCCGGUGGUUCUGAAUGGAAGGGCCAUCGCUCAACGGAUAAAAGGUACUCCGGGGAUAACAGGCUGAUACCGCCCAAGAGUUCAUAUCGACGGCGGUGUUUGGCACCUCGAUGUCGGCUCAUCACAUCCUGGGGCUGAAGUAGGUCCCAAGGGUAUGGCUGUUCGCCAUUUAAAGUGGUACGCGAGCUGGGUUUAGAACGUCGUGAGACAGUUCGGUCCCUAUCUGCCGUGGGCGCUGGAGAACUGAGGGGGGCUGCUCCUAGUACGAGAGGACCGGAGUGGACGCAUCACUGGUGUUCGGGUUGUCAUGCCAAUGGCACUGCCCGGUAGCUAAAUGCGGAAGAGAUAAGUGCUGAAAGCAUCUAAGCACGAAACUUGCCCCGAGAUGAGUUCUCCCUGAGACUUAAAGUCUCCUGAAGGAACGUUGAAGACGACGACGUUGAUAGGCCGGGUGUGUAAGCGCAGCGAUGCGUUGAGCUAACCGGUACUAAUGAACCGUGAGGCUUAACCUU